UUGCAAUUAUAUCACAUUGUUUAUUUCUUUAUUUAUCUUAUCAUCAUUAUUACUAAUACAAAAUAAUUUGUACAAAGGCUAAAGUAAGUAUUGCAUAGAAGGAACACAGGAGUAAAUACAAUCUGGAUGGAAUGGCACAUUAAAUUCUAAAAUCUAACACAUCAAAAGUUCUUAAUUUACUAGGGCAUUUUAUACAAAAAUAUCUCACCGUCUCAUAUAGGUGGUUAAAAUGUAACAUCACCAAAUGGCAGAAUUACAACAACAAAAAACACUUUUUAAACCUUUAUUGCAUUGCCAUCAAUUAAUACAGAUAUAUUUGAUAAAAUAGGAGUCUGUGCCAGUAUGUUAAAUAUGAUAUGUGUAUGAGUUUUAACUAUUGGGAUGUCUCUGCCUCCCAACAGUAAUCCUACAAACAAAACAAUAAAAAUGCAUAUUUCUAUACAUAAGGGCUUUUAACCCAAUACAUGGAACAUUUAAAUAUAUGCGGCUCCCAAAAAUAAAAAAUUUAAAUUCAAUCAGUUUCCUGUGUUCUUAGACUUGAGUGAUUUUUAGUUAUUUUGUUCUGCAAAAUCAAGUAGCUAUAUGCAAGUAUAUUCUUGUAACUACACCACCGCACAGGAAAAAGCCUUACUAUCGAAUGAGACAAUGAACAUAUUUGAUUAACAAAUCAGAGGGCCAAGCAUGAAAGGAACACCCUUUUUAAAUAAAAGUAUAUCCCAUUAGAUAAUGCUUUCAAUAUACCUCAGCUAAUUGUUAUUAAAGAAUAUCAUUUAACAUGAGAACAAUUUGUGCUAUACACUGCAAUGCUAAAUAAAAUACUGUUUUUCUCUGCUGACUUUUAAAUGUUAAGCAAAUUAACUCAGAUACCUUUUGGAUGAGAGACUCCCAAGUCAAUGACAAAGUAAUUUCUGAAAGUGACAGUAAUUGUUAACCAUCACUUCAUCAUUAAGAAGAAAAAAAAUACAUAAUAACCAUUUAUACUACAGUUCUUUGGCAACUUAAUUUGCACUUAGAAUUCAAAUGUGCUAAAACAGUUUUUAUUUAACUUGCAAUAUUUCAGACUAUUCAGCCUUGAUUAUUUCAUAAAUAAAAAAACGGAAAAACAAAUAUGAAUACUGUCCGUAAACUAUUACAGGGGGAAAAUGUGUAUUUUUUUUAAGAUGGCUAUUCUUACAUAAAUAUGGAAAAAUGUAAGUGAUAGUGAUGUCCCGAACUGUUCGCCGAACAGUUCGCCAUGAACGGUUCGCCAUGGACUCCAGUCAGCAGACACAUUCCAGCCAAUCAGCAGCAGACCCUUCCUCUCAGACCCUCCCACCUCCUGGACAGCAUCCAUUUUAAAGUUGCAUUCUUAGUGAGCUGUCCAGGAGGUGGGAGGGUCUACUGCUGAUUGGCUGGAAUGUGUCUGCUGACUGGAGUCCGCGGCAAACCUUUCGUGGCGAACCGUUCGCGAACAGUUCGUGGCGAACCGUUCGCGAACAGUUCGGCGAACAGUUCGGCGAACAAUUCGGGACCUCACUAGUAAGUGAUAAAAUGUAUAUUGAACAACUAAAUCUUAAAAUCAUCUUAGUGUCACACUCAGCAUUCUUAAGGGGGCUUUCAUAUCCAGUUAUUAUUAAAAUGAUGUUUAUUUAUCCAUAUAUUUAACAAAUAUGCAUUUGUGAGACAAAGCAAAUAAAAUGAAAUUUAGAAAUCCACAUUUUAACCUGCCCCUGGGUGUCUCCUUAUUGGCUCCCUGCCAAUCCAUUAACAUAAGCACUGUCCUUUGCACCUAGCAGUCAUCAUAGAGAAAGCAUACAGAGGAGAUAUGACACAAUGCUUCUAUUUCUCAUCUUAAUUUGCAAUGCAUGUCCUGUGCUUGCUUUAUCCAAACUGGAUUAUGAUGUAAUUUGCUAAAUAUUUAAUGCAUAUUUAAAAGAAAAAGGAGUAUCUGAUAAAAUGGUUAACAUAAUUUGUUGGGGAGUUUCAAUGUUUUGUUCAAUGGUAUAAGUUCCAAUGACAGUUUCGCUUUCAAAUACUUUAGGAAUAAUUGUAAACAGCAUUCAAUAUAUGAUCUUACAAUGAAAUAAUAAUGAACUCAAUCAAAUUGAAUAGUAAGAGAAUUAAGAUUCUGAUAUAAUAUUUAGUAGAGUUUCCCUGUAUUUUGUACAUACAAUGUAGAUUGCUGUCACAUGAAAAAUAGCAAAAUGUGGUAAAUAAAAAAAAAUGUAAAAAAAGAUUGCAAGUAUUAAAAGUGGAGCCAAUAAUACCAAAUGUGUAAAGUAUUUCUUUGUUAUUACUAGAAAGAAGAAUUGCAUAAGCUGAAUUUGCACUGUGGGCUAUCAUAUAGCCAAUCACAGACUGAAACUCUCCUCGUCAUUAUUGAUUGUACACAGUGUUCUAUUUUAAAAUGCUGACAUUCAGACGCACGCUUUAUUUUUAUAUGAACUACAUGAAUAAAAAAUGUAUAUUUAAUGUAAUUCCAACAAAGGUUUAAACCUGUUACAUCUUAUAGCAGUUAUAUACAAAAAUAAUGUACACAUAACAUGUCAAUCAAAUUCUGAAAUAACUUGCUGACUUUUGUUCAUUCAGUCUUAAUAGUAGAGUAUUUGGUUACUUAAAUGCAUUUCACUAUCAGCCUUUUUUCACUAUAUGAAAUAAAUUUUUUGGCAGAUUUAAUAUAUUCGAUUUAAAAUACAAUGAUUAGAUUUAAACAAAAGUUCAAGCAACAGAUUCAACUGAAAAAAAAUUAAUGAUAACUAUCCUGCACCUUCAUAGCACCUUCAUACAGUAGCAUUGAAGCAAAUAUAAUUAAUUAAUAUAAUGUACUAAGAGGAAUGGUUUUAAUGUGAGAGUGUAGAACCGUAGAAGCAGCAAACGCAGUAUUUUCUUGUAACGUAUUUUAUUAAGAAAAAAUAAGUAAUAAAGGUCUCCAGCAUGAGUUAAUUGCAUUUUUAAUUGAAAAAAAAAUAUUUUCAUUUUAUUUCCAUAAUUAUAAGAAAUUAAGUCAUUGUUUUAAUAUCAUAUAAUUGGGAUUUAAAGGACAGUUUAUUAUUUAGCAUUUUUUAUUUACAUGAUUUUUAUGUUGACAAUGCUGACGUAGGCACAGUUCAGAUAUUGAAUCAAUAAGAAUAUAAUGAAAAACACUGUAAUAGCACCUAGUCAAGUGCAGAUUAUUAUUAGGGGGUACAAUGGAAAUAAGCAACGAGUAUAAUUUCAGCGAGGCAGCAGCAAAUCUUACAAGGACAUUGUGUCCAACACGCAAAGACAAAAAAUAUAUAUAUAGAAGAGCUACACCAAUUCCACACAAAAUACUUCUGUGAGAUAAUAAUUCAAAAUACAUACAUAAGUACUCCCAAAUUGAUUGGUUAUACAGGUGAAUGGCUCAGCACAUGCAUACAGAACAAUAGACAUACUCCACCAUUGGAUUCCUUUUUCUGCUUGAUUUUCCAUAAAGUAAAGGAUAAGCCAUUAUAUGAUGAAUACAUUGCUAUCUAUUGGCAUAUAUCCAAGUGCACGGAUUAUAGCAGUGUUUCCCAAACCAGUCCUCAAGGCACAUCUACCAGUCCAGGAUUUAGGGAUUACACAGUUCUGGUUUGUUGCACAACUGGGUAAUCUCUAAAUCCUGGUGGUAGAGGGACCUUGAGGACUGGUGUGGAAUCUACUGGAAUAUUCCAUCCAAGCUGCCCAUAUUUGAGCUUGGAUUGGCUCUCCACAGCAUGAGUGACACGACUCAAUUUCACAUAUUUAUGCAUUGUCCUAUAGUUGGUUUCUGUAUUUUAUUUUGCACUUGUUCAGACACUUCUGUAUAACCCAACUAUUUUGAAGUACUUAUAUGUGUAUUUUGAUUACCUCACAGAGGUAUUUUGUGUGGAAUUGGCACUGUUCUUCUGCAUAUAUAUUUUUAUGAUUAGGGGGUAGUCUCAAGGGCCCCAACACUUUUAUAGAGUUAUGUAUAAUUCACUGUUUUCUCCAUUUUCAUAUGUGUUGAGUUACUUAGUAAACUACCUGCUGUUGGGUGUUAUUUUUACUGUGCUAGGGUUCGGAGCAACUACAUCAACACGGUCAGUAGCUUUGACCAGUUUUUCAAAACUGUUAAUCAAGUUCUGCUAAAGUGUGAUACAUUUCUUCCAACUUAUUAGCAAAUGGUAUUACCUUAUUCUUAAAACACUGAAGUAGUAACAUAUUGAAAACAGAGUGCAAAAAAAUAUAUAUCACAAUAACAUUCUAGAUUAUUUCCAAUAUCUGUUCUCCAGAGAUGCUACAUGGAGGCACACAACAGAAAAAGUACAAAAUCAUUACAAACUAAUCAUUUGCAUUAAAUGUAAGUUUGGAGUUCCUUGUAACCUAUGUAGAGGAAUAAUUUGAUUCAAUUAUAACAAUAUUAAAAACAAAUUUCAAUGUUUCGGCAGCUAGAAAAACUAUUGGGUGGAAGACAGGGACGUUUUAGCCGCGAGGCAAACAAGGCAUUUGCCAUGGGCGUAAUUUUUCAGGGGGCGGCAAAAAAAGCCGCCCCCAAAUGCCGAGUGCAAAUGUCUUGUUAGCCUUGCGGCUAACAGUCUAGGCAGGCAGGCGGACGGUCGGGCGGCGCUGGCGAGGGAGCACUUUCCCCUGAGCUGUCUGCUCAGCUC
rnacentral:lncRNA from 1 species